rnacentral:rRNA from 1 species
GAUGAACGCUGGCGGCGUGCCUAAUACAUGCAAGUCGAGCGAACAGACGAGGAGCUUGCUCCUCUGACGUUAGCGGCGGACGGGUGAGUAACACGUGGAUAACCUACCUAUAAGACUGGGAUAACUUCGGGAAACCGGAGCUAAUACCGGAUAAUAUAUUGAACCGCAUGGUUCAAUAGUGAAAGGCGGUUUUGCUGUCACUUAUAGAUGGAUCCGCGCCGCAUUAGCUAGUUGGUAAGGUAACGGCUUACCAAGGCAACGAUGGGUAGCCGACCUGAGAGGGUGAUCGGCCACACUGGAACUGAGACACGGUCCAGACUCCUACGGGAGGCAGCAGUAGGGAAUCUUCCGCAAUGGGCGAAAGCCUGACGGAGCAACGCCGCGUGAGUGAUGAAGGUCUUCGGAUCGUAAAACUCUGUUAUUAGGGAAGAACAAAUGUGUAAGUAACUAUGCACGUCUUGACGGUACCUAAUCAGAAAGCCACGGCUAACUACGUG